CUCCUGGCUGGCUGGUGGUUUCAGCAGAUCCUGGCUGACUGGCAGAUCCUGGCUGACUGGCAGAUCCUGGCUGACUGGCAGAUCUGGAAGAGUCUGGUUGACUGGCAGAUCUGGAAGAGUCUGGUUGACUGGCAGAUCUGGAAGAGUCAGGUUGACUGGCAGAUCUGGAAGAGUCAGGUUGACUGGCAGAUCUGGAAGAGUCAGGUUGACUGGCAGAUCUGGAAGAGUCAGGUUGACUGGCAGAUCUGGAAGAGUCUGGUUGACUGGCAGAUCUGGAAGAGUCUGGCUGACUGGCAGAUCUGGAAGAGUCUGGCUGACUGGCAGAUCUGGAAGAGUCUGGCUGACUGGCA
ensembl:lncRNA